GAUCAUAGCUCAGGAUGAACGCUAGCUACAGGCUUAACACAUGCAAGUCGAGGGGCAGCAUUUUAGUUUGCUUGCAAACUAAAGAUGGCGACCGGCGCACGGGUGAGUAACACGUAUCCAACCUGCCGAUAACUCUGGGAUAGCCUUUCGAAAGAAAGAUUAAUAACGGAUGGCAUAGGAUUAUCGCAUGAUAAUCCUAUUAAAGAAUUUCGGUUAUCGAUGGGGAUGCGUUCCA
rnacentral:rRNA from 1 species